GGCUCGGUAGCUUAGUUGGUGAAGCGCUCGUCUAGCAUACAAGAGUCCUGGACUCAAUUCCCUGCCGAGCAC
rfam:Aedes aegypti strain Liverpool supercont1.342 genomic scaffold, whole genome shotgun sequence.